rnacentral:tRNA from 3 species
AUUCAAUUAGUUUAAUAAAAAUAUUAAAUUGUGAUUUUAAAGAUAAAAAUAAAUUUAUUGGAUA